UACGUAGGGUGCAAGCGUUGUCCGGAAUUAUUGGGCGUAAAGAGCUCGUAGGCGGUUCGUCGCGUCGGCUGUGAAAUCCCGAGGCUCAACCUCGGGUCUGCAGUCGAUACGGGCGGACUGGAGUACUGCAGGGGAGACUGGAAUUCCUGGUGUAGCGGUGGAAUGCGCAGAUAUCAGGAGGAACACCGGUGGCGAAGGCGGGUCUCUGGGCAGUAACUGACGCUGAGGAGCGAAAGCGUGGGGAGCAAACAGG
rnacentral:rRNA from 1 species